UACGUAGGGUGCAAGCGUUGUCCGGAAUUAUUGGGCGUAAAGAGCUCGUAGGUGGCCUGUCGCGUCGGCUGUGAAAACUCGGGGCUCAACUCCGAGCUUGCAGUCGAUACGGGCAGGCUAGAGUUCGGCAGGGGAGACUGGAAUUCCUGGUGUAGCGGUGAAAUGCGCAGAUAUCAGGAGGAACACCGGUGGCGAAGGCGGUUCUCUGGGCCUGUACUGACGCUGAGGAGCGAAAGCGUGGGGAGCGAACAGG
rnacentral:rRNA from 1 species